rnacentral:rRNA from 1 species
AUUAUGGAGAGUUUGAUCCUGGCUCAGGAUGAACGCUGGCGGCGUGCCUAAUACAUGCAAGUCGAGCGAACAGACGAGGAGCUUGCUCCUCU